rnacentral:lncRNA from 1 species
GAGUCUAGGCAACUCCAUGCUCACUUCCACAAAUACUUGCAGUUGCUAAAUAAGGAGCCUCACUUUCCUAGACCAAGUGGUGUGCAUCCCCCUCCCUCUUGCCACGGAAACCCAUCUACUGCAUCCCGACCUCAGCAGUUUUGAACUACAACUCUGGAAUUGUUAGCUCACAACGCAGAGCUGGAAAAGGCCUCAGAAGUCAUCUACCCAACUGUGCCAUUUCACAGAUGGGAAAACUGCGGUCUAGAGGGGUGGCGGCUCGCCCAGAACUGUCUCCAACUGGAAGGAAGGAAAUCUAGUCCAAUCCUCUCAUCCUACAGAAUUCACAGAGUGCCAGAACUGGAAGGGACCUCAGAGAACAGAAGUUCAAGUCCUGUUUCCCAGAUAAGGACACCAAGACCCAGAGGGGAAAUGACUCAGCCAACAACACGCACCCUUUGGAGGCCAGCAGGGCCACUUAAGUAUUGCUCCACCAGAGACCAGAACUGUGGGCCAGACCACUCUGGCCAGAGCCUCCCAGAGCCUCUGGGAUCCUGCCCAUGGAUCUGAGGAUUUCCACCCCAGGAGAAAUUCUGGGUGAGAGUUUGGAGGCACUGUGCUGGGAGGAGACAUGUGGUUUCUGAGCUCAAGAAGGUUACAGUUUACAGGAAGAGAUGGACACUGAACCAAUAAUACCACAAAUAGAUGGAUAUUUACAAAUUUUUUAAAGAUUUUAUUUUUUUUCCUUUUUCUCCCCAAAGCCCCC